rnacentral:lncRNA from 1 species
AGGUCACACCACAGGUCCCUCUUGCUGGCCAGCAGUUGCCCAGCCUGCCUGCUCUCCUGUGUCUGGGGGCCGUGGCAGGCAGGGCCUCUGCUGACAUGGAGUGAGUUGAGGCAUGCCUU